rnacentral:rRNA from 1 species
AUUGAACGCUGGCGGCAGGCCUAACACAUGCAAGUCGAACGGUAACAGGAAGAAGCUUGCUUCUUUGCUGACGAGUGGCGGACGGGUGAGUAAUGUCUGGGAAACUGCCUGAUGGAGGGGGAUAACUACUGGAAACGGUAGCUAAUACCGCAUAACGUCGCAAGACCAAAGAGGGGGACCUUCGGGCCUCUUGCCAUCGGAUGUGCCCAGAUGGGAUUAGCUAGUAGGUGGGGUAACGGCUCACCUAGGCGACGAUCCCUAGCUGGUCUGAGAGGAUGACCAGCCACACUGGAACUGAGACACGGUCCAGACUCCUACGGGAGGCAGCAGUCGGGAAUAUUGCACAAUGGGCGCAAGCCUGAUGCAGCCAUGCCGCGUGUAUGAAGAAGGCCUUCGGGUUGUAAAGUACUUUCAGCGGGGAGGAAGGGAGUAAAGUUAAUACCUUUGCUCAUUGACGUUACCCGCAGAAGAAGCACCGGCUAACUCCGUG